AAAAAAAAUCUUCUUUUUCACCAGUCAAAAAAAAUAGUAUAAACAAAUUCCAGACUAAUUUACAAAUGAAGACUUAUUUCCUUAAAGAACAAAAAUAGAUAGAUAUUAGUUUCCAAAAAUUCCAAUAUUCCUAAAUCCAAGGAUUAAAUCAGUGCACAGCAAUAAUGUACUAGCGCAACAAGGAGCUCUCUGUUACAGUCCAAAUGGUUGGGGACAAUGACAAGUAAAAUGGUCAAUGCAUAAUUUUAAAAUGAAUAAUGAAAAAGUCGGGUUCAGCUCCAAACUGGAGAGAACAUCUGCAGCCACUAAAUGUUGUAAGGAGCCUUUUGCCAUAUUUAACAGCAGUGGCUGCUCUGUUAAACCUUUUGCAAGAAGAAGAAAGAGGUUUGGUGUGGGCAUGGGGUGGGUAACCAACAUCCUGUUUACGAUAGUCGACUCUAGUGGCCCUGAGAAGACUCCCAUGGUAGCCAAACCUUCUGUAAGACUGGCAGUGUGUUUGCUAAUUGUGCUGUCAAUUUGUCCAUUAGAUAUGUAUCUGUAAGCUCCAGGAUAUCUGUUGAUAUGAAAGGAACAUCUACCUGCAUCCAGGUGCAAAUUUGACAUUUUUUUCAAGCGCACACGAUAUCUGACAAGUUAUUUAAUUUUAUUUUAUGUUAGGGUUUCUUUUUAAAUCAGAAUACAGAUUAAGGAACAGCGCACACAUACAAGUGGCAAAUCUUACAAGGUUACUAAAUCACCUAUCUUAGCAAACAAGUAAAAAAUGAUUUGUUUUCACCAUUUGGCCAUAUCAUGUCACCGUACCCCAAUAUCGAUGGGUCCUACACUAAUUGUACCAUUGGUGAGUAACAUGCUAACCUGCAAUACUUACUGCUUAAACUGCUCCAAUGUAUGCUUUCCUGUGGUCACCUCCAAAGGGGCACCUGCAGUGGAUGGGUGGAGUGCUCAAAGUAAUAGGAAUCUGGUCUGGAUUCCAGAUCUACAAAGAAUAAACAAGGGUUGGGGGACCACGUGGAACAUGCGAUUCUCGUAAAUACCAACAUUUUUACAAAAUACAGAUUAUGAAACAUUAAAGACACAGUGAAAAAUGAAAUAGAUGUUACGUUUUACAAUGAUUUUUUAAAGUUUAAAACUGUAUUUGCUUUUCCUUUCUUUAUUCUGUGUCAUAAUGAUUUGUUUUUUGCAGCAAAAUAUUCAAAAUGUGUAUCUACAAAAUGC